UUUACACGUUUGAUACAAUGUUUCCAAUGUUGACCUUAAAGUAUCCCAUUCGUGAUAUGGAAAACUGUGUAACUGCUGAACUCAACACAUCGUGACACGGAUUCUAUCUCCUCCUUUAAAAAAAAUAUAUUAAAAAAUAUAUAUAUAUAUAUUUAACUAGGGCAAGUCAGUUAAUAAGAACACAUUCUUAUUUACUAUGACGGUCUACCCUAACCAAAGCCAGAUGACACUGGGCCCAUAGUGCACUGCACUAUAGGACUCACAGCCAGAUGUGAUGUAGCCUGGAUUUGAACCAGGGACUACAGUCUUGAACAGAGAUGCAGUGCCUUUAGACCGCUGCACCACUCAGGAGCCUCCUAUCUCCUCACCUUCACAACCUAAGCACGUAUAAAAGAGAGAUGUAUGUGAUCGUAUACAAAUGUAAGCAAGGUUUGAAAUUAUUAUGUUUUAUUCAAAUAUUAUCUCUGUUUGAGGUUCUUGUGGUCAAUUUACCAUCUACAAAUGAUUUGUAAUUAUGUUCAGGCCCCCCGACCAUCGUCCCAUGGCUGAAUCUGGUUGAUGAUCUCUGCUGUGAUGUACGGCCAUUAGAGAUGGUGAUAUCCAAUGACCAGUGACGGUUUACAUGGACAGCUAGAGGGCAGCAGCAGAUCCCGCCCAGCCCACAGGAGGACUUCAAUCUGUGUUACCAGACCCCGCCCACAGGAGGACUUCAAUCUGUGUUACCAGAUCCCGCACAGCCCACAGGAGGACUUCAAUCUGUGUUACCAGACCCCGCCCACAGAAGGACUUCAAUCUGUGUUAACCAGACCCAGCCCACAGGAGGACUUCAAUCUGUGUUAACCAGACCCAGCCCACAGGAGGACUUCAAUCUGUUUUACCACCUAAACUGGCAUUUGUGUUAGUCUGAGAAACCAAUUUUUAUUUUUAUUUUAUUAAAUCAAAUAGGUGCAAUAGCUGUUUUAAGGUGCAUGCCUGCCUGUCUGUCUGUCUCUGUGUCUGCCUGUCUCUGUGUCUGUCUGUCUGUUAAAGGUGUGUGGGGGGGGGGGGGGGGGGGGGGGUNNNNNNNNNNUCAGUUACUUAUAUCCCUUUAAUUCCAGUCAGUUACUUAUAUCCCUUUAAUUCCAGUCAGUUACUUAUAUCCCUUUAAUUCCAGUCAGUUACUUAUAUCCCUUUAAUUCCAUUAAUUCACUCAUACCCCUUUAAUUCCAU
rnacentral:lncRNA from 13 species